rnacentral:rRNA from 1 species
CUCGUAGGCGGUUCGUCGCGUCCGGUGUGAAAGUCCAUCGCCUAACGGUGGAUCUGCGCCGGGUACGGGCGGGCUGGAGUGCGGUAGGGGAGACUGGAAUUCCCGGUAUAACGGUGGAAUGUGUAGAUAUCGGGAAGAACACCAAUGGCGAAGGCAGGUCUCUGGGCCGUUACUGACGCUGAGGAGCGAAAGCGUGGGGAGCGAACA